rnacentral:rRNA from 1 species
GACGAACGCUGGCGGCGUGCUUAACACAUGCAAGUCGAACGGAAAGGCCCUGCUUUUGUGGGGUGCUCGAGUGGCGAACGGGUGGGUAACACGUGAGUAACCUGCCCUUGACUUUGGGAUAACUUCAGGAAACUGGGGCUAAUACCGGAUAGGAGCUCCUGCUGCAUGGUGGGGGUUGGAAAGUUUCGGCGGUUGGGGAUGGACUCGCGGCUUAUCAGCUUGUUGGUGGGGUAGUGGCCUACCAAGGCUUUGACGGGUAGCCGGCCUGAGAGGGUGACCGGCCACAUUGGGACUGAGAUACGGCCCAGACUCCUACGGGAGGCAGCAGUGGGGAAUAUUGCACAAUGGGCGGAAGCCUGAUGCAGCAACGCCGCGUGCGGGAUGACGGCCUUCGGGUUGUAAACCGCUUUCGCCUGUGACGAAGCGUGAGUGACGGUAAUGGGUAAAGAAGCACCGGCUAACUACGUG